ACCAGACUCCUACGGGAGGCAGCAGUGGGGGAUAUUGCACAAUGGGGGAAACCCUGAUGCAGCGACGCCGCGUGGGUGAAGAAGUAUUUCGGUAUGUAAAGCCCUAUCAGCAGGGAAGAAAGAAGACGGUACCUGACUAAGAAGCCCCGGCUAACUACGUGCCAGCAGCCGCGGUAAUACGUAGGGGGCGAGCGUUAUCCGGAUUCACUGGGUGUAAAGGGAGCGUAGACGGCCGUGCAAGCCAGGUGUGAAAGCCCGGGGCUCAACCCCGGGACUGCUCUGGAAACUGCGGCGCUGGAGUACGGGAGGGGCAGGCGGAAUUCCUGGUGUAGCGGUGAAAUGCGUAGAUAUCAGGAGGAACACCGGCGGCGAAGGCGGCCUGCUGGACCGCGACUGACGUUGAGGCUCGAAAGCGUGGGGAGCAAACAGGAUUAGAUACCCCGGUACA
rnacentral:rRNA from 1 species